rnacentral:tRNA from 1 species
GGGGUCGUGGCUCAGUGGUAGAGUGCUCACCUAGCACGUGUGAGGCACUAGGUUUGAUCCUCAGCACCACA